UGGUGGAGUGAUUUGUCUGCUUAAUUGCGAUAACGAACGAGACCUCCGCGUGCUAAAUAGUUUCGCUUACACUUUUGUGUAGGUUAGAGACUUCUUAGACGGACUUUUGGGUAAUCAAACCAAAGGAAGUUGGAGGCAAUAACA
rnacentral:rRNA from 1 species